rnacentral:rRNA from 1 species
GAUGAACGCUGGCGGCGUGCCUAAUACAUGCAAGUCGAGCGAACAGAUGAGGAGCUUGCUCCUUUGACGUUAGCGGCGGACGGGUGAGUAACACGUGGAUAACCUACCUAUAAGACUGGGAUAACUCCGGGAAACCGGGGCUAAUACCGGAUAACAUAUUGAACCGCAUGGUUCAAUAGUGAAAGACGGCUUUGCUGUCACUUAUAGAUGGAUCCGCGCCGCAUUAGCUAGUUGGUAAGGUAACGGCUUACCAAGGCAACGAUGCGUAGCCGACCUGAGAGGGUGAUCGGCCACACUGGAACUGAGACACGGUCCAGACUCCUACGGGAGGCAGCAGUAGGGAAUCUUCCGCAAUGGGCGAAAGCCUGACGGAGCAACGCCGCGUGAGUGAUGAAGGUCUUCGGAUCGUAAAACUCUGUUAUUAGGGAAGAACAAAUGUGUAAGUAACUAUGCGCGUCUUGACGGUACCUAAUCAGAAAGCCACGGCUAACUACGUG